GCAAGUGCUAGAAGGGGAGCCGAGGGUCGCUGCCGCCGCCGCCACCGCCACCAUGGGGAGAAAGUCGAGCAAGGCCAAAGAGAAGAAGCAGAAGCGAUUGGAGGAGAGAGCAGCCAUGGACGCGGUCUGUGCCAAAGUGGAUGCAGCCAACAGGCUUGGAGACCCUCUGGAGGCGUUCCCAGUCUUCAAGAAGUACGACCGCAAUGGCACACAGAUGAAGAAGGUGAUGUUAACUGUUUUUAAACACAAUCAUGGCGCCUAUCAGUUCUUCCGGGAGGCACUUCAGUUUGACAUUGAUGACUCUUCCCCCAGCAUGUCUGGUUGCUGUGGGGAGGACUGCUCCUAUGAGAUCCUGAGCCGGAGGACCAAGUUUGGGGACAGUCAGCACUCCCACACGGGCGGGCACUGUGGUGGCUGUUGCCACUGAACU
rnacentral:lncRNA from 1 species